rnacentral:rRNA from 1 species
CUUUACUGCAACUUGGCAGUGAAUUUCGGAACACUCUGCGUAGGAUAGGUGGGAGGCGAUGAUACCGGGCUUCUGGGUUCGGAGUAGCCGUUGUUGAAAUACCACCCUGGGUGUUCUGGGAUUCUAACCUGCGUCUGUGAACCAGACGGGGGACACUGCCUGGCGGGCAGUUUGACUGGGGCGGUCGCCUCCCAAAAUGUAACGGAGGCGUGCGAAGGUUCCCUCAGCCUGAUUGGAAACCAGGCGAAGAGUGCAAAACGCAGAAGGGAGCUUAACUGCGAGACCGACAGGUCGAGCAGGUGCGAAAGCAGGUGUUAGUGAUCCGGUGGUCCUGCGUGGAAGGGCCAUCGCUCAUCGGAUAAAAGGUACUCUGGGGGAUAACAGGCUGAUCGCGCCUGAGAGUUCACAUCGGCGGCGCGGUUUGGCACCUCGAUGUCGGCCCAUCGCAUCCUGGGGCUGGAGCAGGUCCCAAGGGUUCGGCUGUUCGCCGAUUAAAGCGGUACGCGAGCUGGGUUUAAAAACGU